rnacentral:sRNA from 1 species
AGUCGCUAUGCGUGUGCUUGUGGGUGAGGGAGGGCAGAAAGGGAGAGUGCUGGGCGGGCUUAGUCGGAGAUUGAGGACUGGGAAUCCGCUUCCGGGAGGGCACUGUCUAGUGCACAGGCAACCUAGCCUUGGCCUCCUAGCCCGAGAAGCCGAAUCUCCCUAAUCCCUGUGACCUGUGUCACCUCUGCAUCGCGAGGAGGGGGAUAAGUGGGGAGAAGUCUGAUGUCAGAUGGGAUGGCGCCGGAAAAGGGUGCCACAGCGGGGACGGAAGGCGCCCCCACCCCAACUCCACGGGAAUAUAAACAAUUUGUAUUUUCCGAUCAGGUGGCGGGACAGGCUUCAUUGGGACAGCCCUAACCCAGCUGCUGAAUGCCAGAGGCCACGAAGUGACGUUGGUCUCCCGAAAACCCGGGCCCGGCCGGAUCACGUGGGUAAGUCCAUCCUCUGGAAGCGGGUGGGAGGGCAGAGUUGGGCGGCGCAGGGCGGGGCAGGGGUACUGGGUGCUUUCUCCGACAGGAUGAGCUCGCUGCAUCGGGGCUGCCGAGCUGCGAUGCCGCCGUCAACCUGGCCGGAGAGAACAUCCUCAACCCUCUCCGAAGGUCAGCCCGGGCCCUAAAGCUGAUACCCACUAGAGCACAGGGAGGAAAGUGCCCCACUGAUGAGAACCUGUGAGCUAUGGGUAAUGGAGCUCCCAGAUUCCGAACUAAACCGAUAUCCCAGACUACUCAUUCUGCUCCACUCCUCCACCCCCACCUGCUCCUCCACCCAGUCAGCCAAUUGGCUUAAGUCCUCACGUAUAACUCAGGAUGCCCAGGAAAUGAAUGCCCUUUCCCUCUACAGGAGACGUUGACUGUUUCUCUUAAGCCAAAAUUCAGGGCUUUACAAGAAAUUGGUAUGAAAUAGCUCCCAGGAAAAGAGAGAGGGAUAUGUGCACUUAUGUAUUUAGUGGCUUUUUAUUUCCCAUGUUUCUCCUGCAGAUGGAAUGAAACCUUCCAAAAAGAGGUUCUCGGCAGCCGCCUAGAGACCACCCAAUUGCUGGCUAAAGCCAUCACCAAAGCCCCACAACCCCCCAAGGCCUGGGUCUUAGUCACAGGUGUAGCUUACUACCAGCCCAGUCUGACUGCGGAGUAUGAUGAAGACAGCCCAGGAGGGGACUUUGACUUUUUCUCCAACCUCGUAACCAAAUGGGAAGCUGCAGCCAGGCUUCCUGGAGAUUCUACACGCCAGGUGGUGGUGCGCUCAGGGGUUGUGCUGGGCCGUGGGGGUGGUGCCAUGGGCCACAUGCUGCUGCCCUUUCGCCUGGGCCUGGGGGGCCCCAUCGGCUCAGGCCACCAAUUCUUCCCCUGGAUACACAUCGGGGACCUGGCAGGAAUCCUGACCCAUGCCCUUGAAGCAAACCACGUGCACGGGGUCCUGAAUGGAGUAGCUCCAUCCUCCGCCACUAAUGCUGAGUUUGCCCAGACCUUGGGUGCUGCCCUGGGCCGCCGAGCCUUCAUCCCUCUCCCCAGCGCUGUGGUGCAAGCUGUCUUUGGGCGACAGCGUGCCAUCAUGCUGCUGGAGGGCCAGAAGGUGAUCCCACGGCGAACACUGGCCACUGGCUACCAGUAUUCCUUCCCAGAGCUAGGGGCUGCCUUAAAGGAAAUUGUAGCCUAAGUAGGUCGCGGCAAGGGCCUGAGGCCUGUUCCUCACAGGCUUCCAGGUUAGGCACUGUGAAUAGGCUCAGCUCCUCUAGAGAGCUGAAGCCAUCUGGUUCUUAGAUUCCUCUCCCAGUCCUCUUUCCCAUUGUUCUGUUGCUCCACCUUAUUGUCUCAAGGCCGUAAUCUCAUCAGGUUGGGACAUUAAUCUUUUCAACUCCUUGUAAGAUUUCCCAGUUUGGUUUCUCUACAUGUCCUGCAGCUGCCCCACUUCUCCUUUACGCUGUGUAGAGAAUGCUCUGCAGUUUAGGCAAUAAAAAUA